rnacentral:tRNA from 1 species
CGGGCCAUGGUGUAACAGUAACAUGCACGAUUCGGGUUCGUGCGACUCUGAGUGCAAAUCUCAGUGGCCCGA